UGUUCGAGCGCCAUUUUCACCAUCGAGCCCUGCUCGGAGAUGGGCUUUGUCCUCGCGGACGGGCCCGAAACUCGUGGGCGCCAUCGUCCGGCCCUGAGCGUAGCAAGAGAAAUCCCUCGCUCGGUGGACCGUCUGGCGGCUGCCCCGACUAUUUUUACAAGGUUGGCCUCGGAUCAGGUGGGGAUACCCGCUGAACUUAA
rnacentral:misc_RNA from 1 species